rnacentral:lncRNA from 1 species
UGGCAGGUCAAUGGAAGUGAUUGUACAUUUGUAGCUGCUUCAGUCACCAGUGCCUGCCAAGAAAGAGGAGCCCUAUGACUGCUUUGCUUACUUGACAAGUAUACUUCUUCUAGUAUGUACAGCUUCUUCAAGUAUACUUUUUCAAUGAUGGCCCGGCACAGAUUAUAUAAGGGCUCAAAGACUCCAAGAGAUGGAAUAAACCAGUAAGCACAAAUGGCAUAUCCAUCAAGGGCUGCUUUUCAGGGAUUUUGUUGGGGCCAGGGCUCAUUCUGCUGCGAGAUUCUUCUGGGAUUUUGUUGGGGCCAGGGCUCAUUCUGCUGCGAGAUUCUUCUCCUCCUUAUCCAAGCCUUGAAAGCGCUCUUUCCUAGCAUAUGAGAUUCUUCCACUCUCUGUGUCCAUGAAAAUGUGCAAUGAAGUUGAAGCAGGAAAAAAGUAGAUGAAAGGAGAUGCCUCCCCAUAUUAUUAUAAGGGGCUGAGAAAGAAGGGCUAACAGCAUAUCCUAAUCUUAUUCGUCUUCUUUUCUUUUUUGCCUACGUGUGUAUAUUAGUAAUUUCUGUCUUGAAUACAAAGGAGUCUCACUUUUAUAGUGAGCCAUCAUUAUAGGAUCUCCAAAUUAGUUUGACUUUAGUUAAUCUGCUGCACUUUCAGUCCUUCUGUGGGUAUCUCUUUCUAACCAUGCCAUGAUUGUGCACAAUGCCUCAUUCGUUAAUUUGGUAAUCAUUUUUCAAAUCUUUCUUUUGCGAUCGAUGUACAAAAAAAAUCAUCACAACUAAAGAAAAAUAAGGCCUACCUCAAGGACUUCAUGAAGUUAGAGCAGCCCAUGUGAUCAAAAGUUCUGAAAGUGCUUGCAGUUGCGUUGUGUCAUCCUCACCUCCUUACUAGUUUCCUUCCUAAUUACGCUCUUAACAAAAUAAACAAAAACUAACUAAUUAUUUUUAGAGCUAAUUUAGUUUUAUUAGUAAGGCGUAUAUUCAAUCACAGAAAGGCUAAUCUAGUCAAGCUGAGUACAGAAAGUUUUGCUUGAACACCAAAUGUGAUGAUAGGUAAAUAAACAUGACAUCAACUAUAUAGAUUUAAAAAUUUUAAGUUCCAAUCUCUACAAUAUUAAUCAAAUGUCUCAGAGACAUAUAUUCCAGUAAUCACUAAUUGACUUUAUGUUUGGGAAACAUAAGUGAGCAGAUCAAUUUUUCUUUUUUGAUCCAUGGACUAAUCAGUCAUGCAGAAUCCUUUCCCCUAUGUACCCGCACCACAUGCACAAGAAACGAAACCAAAAUGCAGGUUUAAGCAGCAAUUAGUAUAAGAUUUUAGUGAAGAUUAUGUAUAUAUGAUAUGUUUUCCAAGUAUACUUGCCUUCCAAGCAUCAUGACAGUAGCUUCAGGAUUAGCACUCGGGGUGUGUAUAUAUGAUAAAACGUUGAACCAUCAAUAACCCUCAGAGAAUCAAUACCAAGAACUCUAUAUCCUUUAUCAACAACCCUCCCAACUUGACACCCUCCAUGAUAGCCAUAUGGUCUGUUGGAAAUUUUGGAAAUAACACAUAUUAUUAAACCCUUAAUUAUGAAUUUCCACAAUCAUCAUACCUGUGGUGAAAAUAAACUAUCAGAUAGAAAAUAGGGAGCAGAAUCUUCAAAAAAAUAACAAAAAAGGAAUCUUGGGCCGCCCCAGCGCCUAGCCGCCUAGGCCGAUUUUUCCAACACUGUUUAAAACUCCUACAAACUAUUUCAGUUGUUCUAAAAUGAUCCAUAACUCUAAUUCAUGAGCACAAAAUGACAUACAUAUGGCAAUCACAGACAACGAUUGUGAAAAAUCGGCCGCCGAGCGCCUAGCCGCCUAGGCGGCCGCCUAGGCUGAUUUUUCUGACACAGUUUAAAACUCCCACAAACUAUUUCAGCUGCUCUCAAAUGAUCCAUAACUCUAAUUAACAAGCACAAAAUGACAUACAUAUGGGAAUUACAGACAACGAUUGCGAAAAAUCGGCCGCCGAGCGCCUAGGCGGCCGCCUAGCCCGAUUUUUUUCCAACACUGUUUAAAACUCCCACAAACUAUUUCACCUGUUCUCAAAUGAUCCAUAACUCUAAUUACCAAGCACAAAAUGACAUAUAUGUAUAUAUAUGCAUAGUUCGAGUAUGAAAGUACCAAAAUGGCAUCGAUGUCAUCCUCAGGUGAGAGCUUCUGGUCUCUCUGCGAGCUUUCUUUUCCUCAACUUUCGCUGCUUUCUCUUUGCCUUUUUCUGGCUUCUUCGUCUUCUUCCCCAUGUAUGGAAACACAGCCAAAGAGGCCCAAACUCCGCGCGAGGAAGAAGAGAGAAUUAUCUGGACGAUGCUAAUAUUACGAUUUUUAUUAUUUAAAAAUACUAUAGCCGCUCGGCUAUACUAUUUGUGACGCGUGGCGAAAUGUGAGCUAGCGCCAGGCGGGUCGGUAUUUUUUUAGGGAAAUAGCUUAAAAUGCCACCCUUUUUAUAAUUUUAACUAAAAAUACCACCCCUUCCCAAUUUUUUUACAACUACCACAUAUAAAUACAUCUUUAUUGUGGAAUGAUUGUACCCAUUUCAGUUUUUCAGAAAUUGGGUUCUCUCUCAACUCUCUUGGCUCUAUCUCUCUCUUCAGCCCUUCUCUCUCCCUCGUGUAACUCUCUCUCUCUCCGACGCAAUCGUCUUUCUCCCUCAGCGGUGGCUAUUCAUCCAAGCUUAACUCCACGGUUCACAUCCACGAGGUACUGUUCAUCUUCCUUGUCUUUGAAAUUUGGGUUUGUGAAUUUGGUUUAUGGUGUAUGAAUUUGUAAGAAAUUGAUUUAGGGGUUUCUUCGAAAUUGGUUUUGGGUUUUAGGGUUUAGGGGUUGCUCAGAAACUGGUUUAGGGUUUAUGGGUUUCUUUUGAAAUUGGUUUAGGGAUUUCUCUAGGGUUGAGGGUUUAUGGGUUUCCAUGAACUGGGUAAUAACUCACACCCACUCUCACUCACUCGCAGACACUCUUCACAAAAAUCAAACUCUUCAUUUUGUCACAGAAAGUUUGGACUUUGUUCACCUUUGUCUGGGUAAGUCCCAACUAUCUAUAUUUUUUGAUGAGAUUUUAAGCUCUGGGCUCUGUGAUUUCUACAAGAAUUAAUUCCACAAUAUUCUGAUUUAAUUGUUCAAAUCAAAGCAAAGGAAGGAGCGUUGUUUAUGGAUGGGUAAUUGUCAAAAACGACUUCUGGAAUCUACAUGCUUAUAAUCAAAUUUUGCAUAUGGAUUUAUGGGAUGGUUUUGGGUUCCCUGUAAUCUUUUGAGAAUGUUUUGUUUAUGGCAUUUUUAAAUGGGCUUGAUUUUUGGUUUGGUAGAAUGCAUUUGAUUGUGGUUUGGGUGAUAGAGUGGUGGAGAUGCAGAUGGAGGUGUGGGUACUUUGUCUCUGUUAAAAGGAAAUUGCAGGUUUAUGGUUUGGUUUAAACAAUUGUGUGGUUGUGUGUUCGCUUUAGGUGUCAGUAUCGUGAUGCAAAGGAGACUGUGUUUCUAGGUUUAAAUUCAGUGUUUCUAUGUACAUAAUUAGGUGAUUUCUUAAUAUUUCUAUUAGGUUAUUUCAGUUUGUUUUCUGUUUGAUUUGGAGAGCUGCGCUUGGCAUGAUUGUUUUCUUUAAACUUGGUUGAUUUAGGUUUGGCCAGAAGGUGCUGGCAAUGGCUACAGCGACAUAUCCACCACUACCACCGUAUUAUAAGCUCUACAAAGAUUACUUGCAAGAUCCCAAAUCAGCUCCGGAGCCGCCCUCUCCGAUUUAAAGGACAUGCAUUUGUUAUGGUGACAAUUACACUAUGAGCUUUUCUCAUUCUUUGCAUUCUUCCUGUCAAAAUUUAUAUAAACUGUGUAAUUUGAUUUCUGAAAAUUGCUUUUGUCACUAAUGACUAGAUGCUAGAAGUUUUUGUGAAAAGUAAAGUUUGUUGAAUUUACUGUUUGAAGAAUGCCAUCUCUCCUUUAUAGUAGUUGCUUUACUGUUUGAAGAAUGCCAUCUAUCCUUUAUAGCAGUUGCUUUAGCCAGGAAUGUCAUAUAUGACCUUUAAAGUUGUUGGCUUUGAAUGUUGAGUUUGGAAAAUGUGUAAUUCUAUAAUCUACUGUGUUGAUGUUAUCAAUGUAUGAUUUCUUUGUUUUCCUUGUAAUCUCUUCUUAAUUAGUUUUAUCUUAUUUUAUAUAGACUGAUGACAUUCUUCCGAGCUUGGAAGAUCAGGGAGUGCAUCAACUGUAUCCAAAAGGCCCAAACAUUGGUAUGCCUCCCUCCGUUCUAGUUUUAAUUAUUUGUAUUGUCAUGUGAAAUUACUGCUCUUGAAAUUUCUGAUUGAUUGCCAUAGUUUUCUAGGCUAUGGCGUAUAUCCAAUCCAUACUAGAAAAUGUUGUCAUGCAUGAUAAAUCCGACAUUACGACUAAAAUAUGAACCCUUAAUGAGCCUUCUUUAGUGCAAUACAAAUGUCCUCUCUAGAAAGGAGAAGAGUGUUAGGGGGUAUGUAUCAUCUGGUUUGCAGAGCAUGAUUUUAUUGAUAAUAACUAACAAGAAACAAAUAAGAACUGCAUGUGCACAUACGUGUAUGUCUGUUUAUUCUAGUGUCUAUAUAUAUAUAUUGUGCAUAUGCAUGUGUUUGUUUUCCGCCUCUAAAAUGUUUUAUGCUUCUCUGACAAAAAUUGUGAUCCUUCUUAGAUUUUAAGAAGGAACUGAGGUCACUUAACAGAGAAUUGCAGCUGCACAUUUUGGAGCUGGCUGAUAUUCUUGUAGAGAAACCUUCACAGUACGCGAGGAGAUUGGAAGAUAUAUCUCUUGUCUUCAAGAACUUGCAUCAUCUUCUCAACUCAUUGCGUCCCCAUCAAGUAAGAUAGUUUUGGGUCUUAGAAUGCACUGUAUUGGUUUGUGUUUUAAGGUACUUUAUUUUGUAAUGUAUUUUAUCAAACAGGCUAGGGCAACGUUAAUUCACAUUCUAGAACUUCAGAUACAACGUCGUAAACAAGUUGUGGAGGAUAUAAAGAGGUAUGCUUUCAACAAUUACUGGAAAUAUUUGUGGUCUGAGGCUGAAAUGUUUUGCUUUGUUUUCCAAAAUAGUUCAAAGAAAAUUUCUUUGUCCUUCGAUCAUUGAAAUGAAUCGCUUAUAUAGCAUUUUAUUUAGAGUAAAAGUACUUGAAUCUACUAGGCUAUUCUUUUGGUGCAUUGUAGAAGUUGUUGAAAACUCCCCUGUUCUUGUAUGUGAGGCAUCGAAAUGUUGAUUUUUAGUUUCUUUCAACCUUGAAUUAUGAGGUUAAAAGUAAACUGCGGUGUGUGCAUGGUCAGUGUAAGAGUUCGAAGAUGCAUAUAAAUUCUUUAAAUCUACUGGUAUUGUGACUGUGUAAUCAAUCUGCCAUGUGGAUUGGAUGUUACAUAAUUGCUUGUGACUAUUUGCUUCACUUUCUUGUUUAGGAGGAGAGAAGAAGCACGGAGACUUCUCAAGGAGUCUAUUGGAACGUUGGAGGACACCGACGCAUCUUUUGUGCUAAAGUAAGGGUGUGUGCUCAUGUUCGUUCUGCCGCCGAUUGAAGCCUCUUGGAGAGUUGCAUCUCAAUACCUUCAUCAUGCUUCAUGUAUUAGAAAAAUUAUAGGUUCAAUUAUCAUUGUAAUCAAAGUAAAAGCAAUUUGAUAGCGUGCAUGAUACUGUUCUCUCUUGCUCUGCUGCUAUGAAAUUCUUAUUUACCGAUUGGCAAAGAAGAAAACAUAGUUUCGACAAAGUCAAUAGAUCAUUACAAGAACCAUAGAAUACACUAGCGGAACUAGGACAAAGGCUACAGUGGGCUGUAGCCUAGGGAGGUUUAAACAAAAAUCAAACCUAUAUAUUUGCCUCAUUUGAAAUGCAGAGCAAUAGGCUCUUUAAAUUGUAGUCUGUAAUGGAUGUCGGAUGUACUUAAAGAUGUCGGAUGUCCCCACUGAUACUUAAAGAUGUCGGAUGUACCCCCUCCAAACGAGCAUGUCAGUUACCCUAUUGCAUGUGUAUUGUACUAAUAUUGCCUUUGUAUUGCAUAGAUAUUGUAUGCAUAUUGCCACCCUAUUGUAUGUAUAUUGUGCUACUAUUGCUGUUGUAUUGCUGUUAUAUAACUCUAAUAUUGCCUCUCUAGUGCACGUAUAUUGGCCACAUAUUGCCAUUAUAUUGUAUGUAUAUUGAGUACGGCUUAUCAAUGGGUUUACAGUUUAGGCCCUAUUUCAUUCAAAAAGAAGACGAGGACGAGAACGAAACAACGUGCCUUUCAAAAACAGGCAAUCAGAUGCAUAAUAAUUGCACCGUAAGACAUUGUAAGAAAUUAUUUUUAAAAAUAAUGUACACAAAAAGGAACGUAUGAAUAAAUAUGCAAAUGCUUCGUGAUGGGUUGAAGAAAAGGAUGAUUACAUUUGGUGGUUUGAUUAUGUUUGGUGAUACGAUAUGUUCUUCAUCUUAAUCUUCUUCAUAUAUAUACUUGUUGUAUUAUUAAUUCACACAAAUUCAUCUCGUAAUCAUCCAACUAUUAAAGCUAAGUAAAUGAAAUGAAACAAAAGAAGAAGCCCAAAAUAAACAGAAACAACAAUUUCUAGCACCCUUUUAUCGCCUCUCUAUCACUACUGUAUCACCAACCUAUCAUCAGUUUAUUGCGUUUUAGGCAGAAACAAAUUAUGCACUUCCUCUGUUUUUUAUUUUUGACAUAUGUCCAUUGUUUGACCUCCAUUUUCCUGUAAGGAAAACAAAGAACACAUGAAUUUAAUUUGGAAUGGAUAGAUAGCUUUCCAUUAAACCUUUUGACCAAAAAAAGUAAACAGCAGAGCUUCUCCUAGCAAGCAAAGGCAGGAUUGAGUUGAUGACCAUUAGUUCAAACAUUAUGUGAUCUAAUAGGGAUAACAAAUUUUGGGAACAAGUAAUGAAUCUUCAAAACGAUAAAGAACAACUAGUAAACUAAUUUAUGCAUUUUAACUUUGCACGGGUCACAGCGCUGAACAUGAUAUUUGGUAACCAUCUCUAUACUUAGGGGUCACAGUGCUCAACAUGAUAUUUGGUAACCAUCUCUAUACUUUACAGUUAUGAAAUUGACAUGUACAUUUCUUUUCCCCAAACCAAAGGUUUUUGAAAAUUCCACAAAGUUUAUGUAUAAUACUUGACUGUAUGCAAACUCAAAGAAUUCGAUUAAUGUAUGAAUAACAAAUAAUUCUUCAUAUAUGCAAAAGUCAACCACAUGACUUGAAAUUAGAAAUUCUCACUGCACAUAAAUCCACCAUUACUACAUACAAAUAAACAUCCACAAUUCCAUAAGGCAUAAGGCAAGUUCUAAGGGAUACACAAGGAAAGAAAGAAAAAAAUAUUUCCAAGAACAGCCAAUGAGAAAUAAUGUUACAGACCAAAAGCAAACAAGGCAAAGUUAAACCACCAUUCUUAAGACAAAAGGCACCAGACAAUUUCUAUUUAUUGAAUCAGCUCACAGAAAAUGGUCGAUGUGUAUCACUUCAGGUCUCUCUUUGUCUAGAUCAAUUCAUUAAUUUGCCAUUGCACUUCUGAUAUCUAGGAAAAUCCAUUGGCUCAAAAGACACCAUCAGCUUCAACUCUGAAAUUAUGCAUGGUUGACUACACAAGUUGUUUUGACCUCCAAACAUGGGAAAAAUUCUCAAGCCUGCAAGUACGCAUAAAACUUCUCAAGAAUGGAAUGAUAAACAAACUCUGCGAAAAAUAAAAUAAAAUACUACAUGUAAAAAAAAACCAAAAAGAUAAUUAAACUGAACACAAUAACUUACAACAACAUUUAGUAAUCUAAUUCAUGGAUACAAAGAAAACAUUGACUUGAUUUGCUUUCUCUUAUGAGCUUUAGUAUUAUUAAACUGCAGCAUCCUAUUAAGUGCCUACAAGAAUCGGAAGAUAUUUUUUGAAACCCCAUAUUUUUAGAAUAAAUAAAGAGAAAACAACAUCAGCAAAAUUGUUAAAACAUUAGUCAAAUUGUUGAGAAUAUAAAAUCUCACAUCCACUAUUCUAAGCCUUGCAUUUCAAUAUAUAAAAUUAUGAACCUCUUCAGCCAUUAUCACCAUAGUACUGGACUUCGCUGACAAAUAAUGCAUAACAAGUGGAUGUUGCAACAAGUGGAUGUCUCAUCAAAUAGAACUUUGUAGCUAAAGGAAUAAUUAAUUACAUGAUACAUAUGCAAUAAGCAAAGGAGCUGGAAAUUAAAUGAAACCAGGAUGGGCAAAUCUAUUUCUUCAAUCACAGAAGCAUUUAAUGGGUAAAUUGAACAAACAACAUAUAGGUUCAUGGGCUGAGGUAGAAUUUCUUCAUUCAUCGUUAGCCACCUUAGUCCUUAAGAAGAAGAAAUACAUUAAUCCCUAACCCUCCUCUUCCUCAAAUUUCUUUCCUUCCAUGCCUUGAAUUCUAUCCCUAUUCAUGCACCCAUGACAUGAUCAGUCAAAGAGCAGUAUCAACAAGCUACAAAAACAAGUCUCCUCAUGACCCAUUCGAACCAUGCUCAAAUGACACCCAAAAAUGCAAGAAUCAAUCCACAAGAAUAAACCCAUUCAAUGUUUCAAAUACGGAAUCAUCAUAAUCAGACAAUUUCAAAGGAACCCCUCAACCCUAAACCAAUUUCAGACAAACCCCUAAAUCCUAAACCAAUUUCAGAGAAACCCCUAAUCCAAUUUCAGAUAUACUCCUAAACCCUAAACCAAUUUCGAAGAAACCCCUAAACCAAUUUCAUAGAAACCCAUAAACCCUAAACCAACUUCAUAGAAACCCAUAAACCCUAAACCAACUUCAGAGAAACCCAUAAACCAAUUCAAAUUGACGAUGAACAGUAUCUUUUGCAGGUGAACGAUGGAAGAGGAAGACCACUGCUUCACAAAGAGAGAGAGAGAGAGAGAGAGAGAGAGAGAGAGAGAGAGAGAUAGCUGUGCAAGAGAGCCCCUAGAGCUUCCCGCGAUAGUAAAAGAGAGAAGAAAGUGUGAGAGCUGAUCGAACAGAGAGUGAGACCUGAGCAAUAGAGACAGAGAGAGCUGAGCGACAAAGAGAGAACAAAAUUUUAGCAAAAGUGAUAUGUGUGCAAUAAGUGGACAAUAAAUAUAUAUUUAUAGGUGAUAGUUGCAAAUUUUUUGGGAAUAGGUGGUAUUUUCAGUUAAAAUUAUAAAAAUGAUGACAUUUAGAGCUAUUUCCCAUUUUUUUAACAGUAUAGCCGUUCGGCUAUACUCUUUGUUUUUUAAUAAAAAGAGUAAAGCCGGGCGGCUAUACGAUUAGGGUUGAGUGGUUUAUUCUUCUUUCUAGGAUGGUAUUUAUGUGUACAAGUAUACAACAAAAGGAAAGUAAUUACAAUCGAAUUUAAUACGGGAAUCCUAUAAUUAUACAGGAUUACAAUUACUAAUUUAAAUCAAUUAAAUGAUUUACGCCAACAUUCUCUCUUCAAAUGUACAUGUGAAAAAAAAAUCAAGCUAUUUUGAGACUUUCUAAUAACAUAACCUUCUUGCUUAAGUCUGAUUACCUUGCCAUAGUUUGCAAAGUUUUUUUGAGGAUGUACUCAACAUUUGCAGGAUCUGUGGUGAUAACAUAAAUUAUGAACAAGUUAAGCGCCCUAUAAGUUUUGUGUUUGUAUCCAAACUCAGUCAUGUAAUCGUGCAGCCUAGAGAAGUUCAUUAGAUUGUUUAAGAAGUUUGUGACAACAGGAUGGUAUCUCUUUUUGCUCUCAGUACCCAAUCUUCUAGCAUGGUACUGAUCAUAAUUGUAGCUAAAAUUACAGAUAGCAAAAUUACAGCUCUCACGGUCUUAAAUAUGAAACAUUUCAUUGAAAACAAGUAGACACCUGCCUUUCCCCAUGAAAACUACACCCUAACUGUCUUUUCAUUAUUCUCAUUAGAGUGAUUCUGUAAAGCGCAUGCCUUUCUGUCUAGAUAUCGUUAUUCAACUGAUACAAGACCAAUAAUACUUCCUCCAUUACAAUUUACAUCUGGUGAUCCUCUCACAGAGAAUUCAAGAAGAACCCCAUCGAUUUCAAUCAUGCUACAGCCCGGGACCUCCUUUUUUAUCCCUGUUUCUUUCAUUAAGGAUUUGAUUCUCUUUACGUCAUCAAAUCUACUAGCUUUGACAUAUAUAUCACACAAGUUCACAUAAAAAGCAUGGUUCAGAGGUUCCAAAUCAAUUAAAUAUUGCGCCACCCUUUCUCCUAACUCGACCUUUCCAUGUAUUUGACAGCCUCCGAGCAAUGCACCCAAAACAAAUGUAUCUGUGGCUUCAUUGGCAUGCUUCUUAUAGCAUAUCAACCCGGCACGACUAAGCAUUUCAAACAUGCUUGCAUAGUGAUAGAGCUGCGGUUCAAUUAAGUAAACACGCUUCAUCACACGAAAACACCAGCGACCUUUCUUACUAAACUAGAAUGAGCACAAGCUGACAAUAGCCCAACAAAUGUCACAUGGUUCGGCUUCACCCCAGUUGUUUCCAUCUGUCUAAAAAUAUCAAAAGCCUCAUUGCCAAACCCACGCAGAGCCAGCACUGAAAUCAUAGCUGUCCAUGCCAAAGUAUCCUUGUUGGGCAUUUCCUGAUAGACCUCAUACGCUUUGUCCACACAUCCGCACAAUAACCACAUCACUCGCCAGGCAACUUCUCCUCAGGUACCCAUGCACCCAUAUCCCAUGAUCAAAUGCACCAAGAUGAGCACAAGCUGCAAGGACACUGGCAAUUAUGAUCUUAUAAUUAUCCGGUCUAACCAUAUCACCACUGGUGAUCUGGCCUCCUUUGGCCGACCACCAUGAACAAACAAGGUCAAGCAAUAUGUACCACAAUCACAUUGAUCGUAUAACAAAAGUUCAGCAGAAUGCCUCUUCUGUAUCAAUCACCUCCCAGUGACCAUCUUCUGAAGAUUCGAUAUAAACCCUUCUAUGUCCUGGGUCAUAUGUGUAAAUUUUGUAAGCUAUUAUAACUUGAACACUAACCUUGUUCUGCCAUUGAAGUCUUUUAUCGAACACUUGGGAGACAACUCUUCUCUAAGAUAACCGACUGCCUUAUUCUCAAAUUCCAGAUGGGGUGAAUUACUUGAUGAGAUGUUUGUGUGUGUCGGCUCUUAGAGGGAGCUGCUCUAUUUAUAUGCAACACUUCAUGGAGUCUUGCCCAUCAAGAGACUCCUUGAGGUAUCCUUAUUGCUAUAGAACUGUUAAUCCUAAUUCUUAUAGAACUAGAAACCCCUUUAGCCUUGUAAUCCAUAUGGAACAUUGACACAGAGGCUGCAGGUCGAGAGUUGUGUUGAAUUCUUGAUCAGUCUGGAGUCUUGCAAUCCGAUAAUGAAUAGAAGACCAAUUCUGUAAGGAUUGUGAUAAUAAACUAUCUUACAAUAUGCAUUACAAGGGUCCAAGAAAAGCCAAUAUCUAUUGUAUCUACGAUCAGACCCCAAAAACACAGAUUGCAUUGGGUGUAAGUCAAACCGCACUUCUGUUUCUUUUCCAUUUUUCUCUUUUGUAGAGAAUCUCCCGUCAGAGAACUUUGAGGCCCUGUUUGGCAUGCCUCACUAAGCCUCACUGGACUGGACUGGGUUAAAUAGUCCUUAAAACCUAUGUUUGGUAAGGGAAGGGAUUAAGUUAAAUGAGAUUAUAUAGUCCAAUGGGAAAAAAAACGUUGGACUCGCUUGUUUAAUAUAGCGAGCCCAAAACUGAGUUCGCAAAAUAGCGAGGAUGCUAUUUUGAACACACAGUCCGGCUGAAUACCACCUCUACCAUCAAACACACGAGCCCGAAACAUCAAACAUACCACCAUCACCACGAUGCCACAACCAUCAGACCACCACCAUCAAACACAUAACCAGCCACCACAUACCCAAUCGAACCAUCACCAUCACCCAAUUAGUCAAUCAAACCAUCAUCACCAGCCACCACAUACCCAGUUAAACCACCAGCACUACCCAAUCGAACCACCACAACCAUUAAUUAGUGGAACUAGAGAGAGAGAGAGAGAGAGAGAGAGAGAGAGAGAGAGAGAGAGAGAGAGAGAGAGAGAGAGAGAGAGAGAGAGAGAGAGGGUGAGUUGAUGGUUGAAUCUGUAGUGGCAUGAAGAGAGAGUCAGAAGGAGGGAAGGAAGAAGAAAAGAUAAAGGAAAGAAUAGGAAGAAUGAAACAAAGAAAAACAGAAAUGGCCUGGGAAUGGAAAGAAGAAGAGAGGAUGAAGGAAGGAAAAAAAAAAAAAAAAGAAACGGGCCUGGGAAGAAAAGACAGAGGAGUGAAGAUGAAGGAAGAAAUGGGGGAAAAAAGGGGCAGAGAAGAAAAGAAAUAAGAAAAGACAAAGAAGAAAAGAAAUCAGAAAAGAUAAAGAAGAAAAGAAAUCAGAAAAGAUAAAGAAGAAAAGACAAAGGAGAGAAGAGUAUGGAUGAAGAAAAAUAAAAAGAAAUGUGACAGUUUUAGUCUUUCAAAAAUAUUAGAAUUUUAUUUAUUUUUAGGCUAAAAUUCUUAAUUAAAAUUAAAAAAUUUUAAAAAUUAUUAUUUUUAUCCAACACAACACCAAACAUAAGUCUUCACUAUUUUCACAAUCCAGUUUUUUAGUCCGACGCAACACCAAACGUAGGUCAGUACUUAAUCCAGCUUAAUCCAAUCCGAGCUAAUCCAAGACAGUCCUAGGAUUUAGUCCGGUCCAUAACAGUCCGCCGUACCAAACGACCCCUGAGAUUGAUCCUGAAGAAUCUAUAGGGUGAAACUCUAAUGUACAAUCUUCUUUUGCACCACUCGUAUGUCCUGCAUGGACCCAGGUUGGCCUGGGCAUGCCAUGUUGUUUAGUUGAUAACCUCUUAAUUUUCGCCCCUGAACCAGAAGGAAGGCUGCUAGGUGAUAGAUUCAUAUUUUGCAUAUAUAAUCUAUCUUUAUUUGCAUUGUUUUCAUGUGAAAUUGGUUAGUUUAAUGCGUUUGGUGAAGAUUUUGUAGGAAAUCAUACCUAGCAAGGCUUUGGAGCAAAUUGUGGGUAUCGGCUGGACCCUUGAGAAUACUUUCCUAUUUUCCCUUUAAAACCCCAAAGCAAAUUCCCUCUUUGACUAAGCCGCAUGUUACUUCCUUUUGAGAAUAGGUCUUAGUUUUUCUAAUAUUCCUAUUUUUCCUUUCCUUCCUAAAUAAAUAUUAUCUUCCUUAUUUUUGGAGGAGUCCCUUGGCCUAUAAAUACAAAGCAUUAACCUAAUAGCCAGGGCAUCUUUUUCCACCAUCGUCUUCUCUACCAUAUUUUUCCACCAACUUUCAUUCAACCAGAGAAAUAUCAGAGGAAGCCAAGAAUUUGCUGCUGCAUUAUUUGAGGAGCUUUUGAAGGUGUUCCUGUGAAGAUUCUGAAGAUCAAGUCCAUCGGCCAAAUUGGUUUUAUGACAAUAAUUCUCUUGUUUAUAUUUUCUUCUGUCAUGAACUAAUUUCCCUUGCUAGGGCUACAAUGUAGCCUAACCUUGAAUACUUAAUUUCUGUCGUUAUAUUAAUUUCUGAUUAUUAUCUCAUGUUGAGUAUUUGUUACUGUUCUUAAUGAUUUAAAUAUCUAGCUAAUAUUUAAUUGAUGAUCCAAGCGGAGACCGAGAGGAGAUGUUUGGUGUUUGCUUCUUGUAACAAAUACCAUGACUUGAAUGAGUGCCCGAGAGGGACUAACAUGACUCAUGCAGUUUUCUUGUAGGUUCUCAUAGAACUUAAUGGGUUCUUGGUUUUCUAAAUCCGUUGCUCGAGAGAGAAUGGGUUGUUAAUUGAGAAUACUUUUGGUUGAGCCCGAGAGGGGAUAUCGAAUGAAUUAGGAGAAACCAACUGUCAACAUGGAUAGUAAUUAGGGUUAAUUGGCUAUAAGAAUUAAGUAGAAUUGGUUAUGGUGAAGUCGGAUGCUCUAGUGUCUCAUCAUCUUAAUUUUCUAUUGUUAAUUAAAUUGUUAUUUUUCAUAAUUGUUUUAGUUUUCUUAAAAUUAAUCAAUCUUCUUAAUCAACUGUUCAAAUAAACUUAUGCAUUAAUCAUAAUUGGUAGUUAAUAGGAAAUUACAGUCUUCGUGGGAACGAUACUCUACUUAUUUCUAUAUUACUUGUAUGGAUUGUGCGCUUGCAAUAAUUUCACAACACUAGGAAUGCAUUCAGCAAUAGCAUUUAUAGGAUCCUAUAAAGGAAUAAGAAGAAAAAGAGAGACAUGUUUAAUCUGCUGAGAAGUACUUAAAUACCAUGCAUGUUUAAAUGCUGUUGAAAACUAUAGUUACAAUUGAAGCACAUUUAAGAACUCAGUGGGGAAAUGCAUGAUACUUGACAAUAGCACUCAGCGAGGAAAUACAUGAUACAUGACAAUAGCAAAGACAACAAGAAGCUAUAUCAGUUUCCGUUUUCUUGUUUUCGUUUGGAGAAGCCAAAGAAGGUAGCCGUAAUGAACCCGUCAGGACUUCAGUCAGAUCAUAUACGUGCAACCCAAAAGGUAGAUCCAAUUUUAAGGAAAACAAUAAUACGAACCAAUAUUAAACUUAUAAACCACCAUAAUAAUUACGACUACUUGAAUCUCAUUAAAUAUUCAACUAAUAUUUACUGUCAAAGUAUUUAAUAUAUAAUGCAGUUUGCACCAUUCAGAUGAUAUUAUCUUACAAAGGAUUGAACACGUUCCAUUUAAUAGGGCAACCUCAUAGUAGUGGGAAAAAUAACAACAAAGAAAAUGUUUCAAUGUCCAUGCAAAGAUUCUAUAUGUUACCUCCAUUCUGAAACUAGAACCUGCAUGAAGAAGAUCAAUUGGUGCCACUAUUGCGCUCAACUUUUCUUCAAUGCUUAAAUCUGAAUAUUCGCCUUCCAUCAGUCCUAACAACCAUACUUCUCCUGGAUGGCUCUCAACAAUUUCGGUGUUCUAUCACCAUGUUAUCUUUACUUUUGCCUUGGUUCAUAUAAGUCAGCUUUUUAAUUUUGGAAUUUCCUGAAUUGCACCCAGAAUCAUCAUCACUGCUACAUGUACCACUGUCACCGAGGUCAUCAUCAACUGCUCCAGAGUCUUCGGUAUCUGAUUGGGAUUCCUCCACUUUCUUUUCAGAAGAAUUAAUACGCACACGAUAUGUGGAUGAUGAAAUCUUUUCAAAUAAUGUAAUAUCACUUGAAAGAGUUGAACCAAUUAAAGACACUAGUUCCUCUAUUCCACUGGAAAUAAGGUUCAAUUCAGAAAUCUGCAAAACAAAAACAAAGUCCAUCACUAAUUCAAGUGGAAUGCUGUGCUUGGUUGGUAUCAACUUAAAGAUUAAAACAUGAGAGAUUAUGAUAACAAUAUUUUCAAGAAAAUUACCUGCAUUGACUUUGCCAACUCAGAAACUUUCAACCCAUGAAUUCCUCGCUCUAGCUGAACUCCGAACAAUUCACUCUUCAAAGCACCAGGACGUUAACCAUACUUCACCAUAAGGCUCAUUUCCUAGAUAACAGAAGAUUCAAUUUGAAAAACCAAAUUUCACAUUUAUAGAUAGGUUAACAACAAAUAAAGCUUAUUAAUUGUAGAACACAAAUAAAACUACCAUAAGAAAGUAAAUAAAGGCUCCUGUGCAUGUCUAGUCAUUACAGCAAAUAAUUCCAGAGACAAGCGGAGACAAAUAAACAUAUGCUCAAUAGAUGUUAUUUAGGAAUGCACGAUAAUGCCAACAAACAAAACUGAAGAAACUAUUUCCUUUAACAUUCAAUCACUACAUGUUAUAUGUAAAACCUAAAAUUUUUGAUUUUGGUCCUUAUGUAUGGAAAAUGAAUCUAUCCAACUGGGGCUCUGCCUCAAGGUAGAAACAGAUUAUUCGGGGUAAUGACAGAUCUUAAAUGACUAUUGCCAAUAAGGCUUUGAAUGCUCGAGGUUUUGGGUGGUGAACACAUAUUAUUGGGCAUCUGUAGCACUUAACUUGCAUAAUACAGAUGUGUUGAUAAUUAAAUACAUUUACUAGAGAGGAAAUGGAGCUUAGAAAAAUGAAUUGCAACUAUGGGAGUUAAAUUAGAAGACCUUGCUAAGGGCAUCCCUUCGCAUUGCACCUUGCUUUGAACCAAAACCAGCGGCAACCAGUACUUGACGCAGUAUUUCUGUCCAUGUUAAAGGGUUUAGUGAUCCCUUCCAGAAUUCCAGAGUGGGUUCUUGAUUUUCAACCUGCCAAAUCAUUUGAUAAAGAUGCUUAGUUAUUGAAUACUUCCAUUCGAUUUUUGCAUAAAAAUAUGAAAAAACAACUGAUUUAAGAGAUGAGCAAAAAAGUCUCAAAUGUUUGACAAAAAUAAGUAUCUCUAAUCAACUAUACCACAAAAAGCAAGUGGAUCUUCUAAAAGUGCAUAUGGAUGGAGUACUAAUAGUCUGAUUAUGAUUUUGUUCAGAAAAUUUCUUGUCGCCUAAGCGUAUCUAUCAGACAUUCUGGAAUGGACACCUUUUCUGUAGUCACACCAAACUUUUGAUUAUUAGCUGAUAUCUUCUUUCCUAUAUUCUUUAAAUGUUAUCUGAUAUCAUUUUGCUACUUUCAGCGAUAUUUAACAGUCUUAUAGAUUGCAUUCACUUUUUGUUACCAACAAAGUUCCAAACAUAUGAGCCUUCAGAAAACUGCUGUGGCAUAUAUGUACCCAAAUGAAAUGGUCAAUAUGACCAUACAACAUUAUCAUAAGUUAAAUGAAAUGUAAAUGUCUGUGAUCUGCACAAUUACAUGUUGUUUGUUCAUAACUCACCUAGUGAAUAAAUGCAAGAAAAUUUCAUGAUUUCCUCCAAUGAGGUAUAUAGAUCCACAGCCAAGCUCGGCUUCAACAUUAGAUAGAAGAAGCUUUAGAAGGGCCACAUGAAUUUUUCCAAGUAGCAAGGAAUCCUAAAAGGCAUUUUACGAAACAAAGAUGUUGAGCAAGUAGGCGACACAAUAAAUCUUAUGUUGGAUCAAAGAUAAGAUAUAACCUUGUCCUGAAAUGCUUGGGCAAACUCAUCAACAGUUAAGGAGCUUAUAUCUACCUACCAUAAUGGCAUAAGUAUAAAGGAAAUGGAAAACCUGCCCAAGAAAGUCAACCCAGAAUAUAUUUGAGUACGAUAACUAUAGAAAAUGUAGCAAUCUGAAUUGAUGACCCCAAGACACAUUUGUUAAUAAAUCCAAAAAAAAAAAAAAAAGAACUGCAGCAAUCUAGAGUGGUGCUUUAACACUGCACAUCUUUUCACUUGUCAGUUUCCAUAUGGAAUCUUAAAGUUGACAAGAUAAUAAUAAAUUCCUACACUUGGUACGAACUACACAAAAGAGAGUUACAACUUUCAAGUAGAUUCCAAUAUCAAAUUUAGACCACAUUCCGUAUAUCUCUACUUGAUAUAUCUUUUUCUUGAGUAUAUCAUAGUUUGCAUAACAUCUCUGCAAGAACGACCUAUGACUUCAAUCUAUGCAAUGAGAGCGUCGAAGAAAAAGAUUGGUAAGAGUAAUGAAAGACCAUUAGGCAGUAUUAGCGAGCACAAAAUAAUUAUUCCAAGCUUUUAUAGGUCGUAUAAUCAUGAAUAAGAAAACAGACCUCAUAAAUAAGAAAAAGCAAAUGCAAUAAUAGAUGUCCUAUAUUUGCAAAAGAACUUAACAAAAUCAGGCCACAAACAGUUUGCAAUUCACAUACCUUGAACAGUUUCUUGACAAUCUCUGGAGAAGAAUCCCAAGGUUGCAUACAGAAUGGAUGCUUCAUCUUCACAGAAUUUGGAGGAAACUUGGCCAGCAAAUCUGAAAUCCCAAAAAUUCCUUAUCCACAGCUCAAAAUACUACACAUGCAGACACAUAAAUAUUCCAGCAUUUCAUUUUAGAGUGGAAAAUUUGUUCCGUUCUUCCUUCAAACCAACCUUUGCAAAGUGAACAGGCAUGAUCUCCAUUAGUAGUAAAAUGAUCAGAGCACCCCAGUGCAUUUGGCCAUCCUUGUAAUUCUCUCAGCUCCAGCUCUUCAUCAUCCACAAGCAUUGCAAUCUUAUCCGAGUGUUCUUGGGAACCUGCUCCUUCCAAAGCAAGUUCACAUUUUUCUUUGCUUGGCAGAGUCUGAUUCUCAUUGUUAGAUUCCACCUUGCAUCCAAAAGCAAAAUGAAUGUGGCUAAAUCUGCUAACUUAAACCAUAUAUUUGCAAGAACAAUUUUUUCACUUACCUUCCUUCUUUUGAUGAAAUGUUUCCUCUUUUCUUGUACCUUAUUUCGUACCCGUCCCUGUUUCUGUAAAGGCAACAAAUGUCAGACAACUUGCUAAAGGUAACCACUCAGAUCGACUUUGAAGAUGAUCAUCCCAAAAGACUUUCUCACAUAUCUGCAAGCAAUACAGACUAAAUCACAUUUUUGUUGUUGCAAUCUUCUGUUCCUAGUUACUGGUUUUCGCGAUACACAAGUUAGCAAAACCCAUGUAAACAGGAAAAUCUCUAGCAUCAGGAUUGGUCGCCCGCCAGACCGUCAUCAGGGGUUUUUUUAAAUAAUAAACAGAGUAUAGCCGCUAUACUACUGUUUUUACUAUAAAAACAAUUAGUAUAGCCGCGCGGCUAUCCUAUUUUUGACACGUGGUAGAAUGGGUGCUAAUAUAAAUAGUAUAGCCGUUCGGCUAUACUCGUGCUUUUUUUUUUGAAAUAAAAAGAGUAUAGCCAUAGCCGCGCGGCUAUACGAUUUUGGACACGUGGCGAAAUGGGCGCCAGCUUCAGGCGGGGCCUUUUUCUAUAAAUAGGAUAGGGCUGUACUCCGGAUUUUUUUAUUAUAAAAAGCUUAUAGCCGACCGGCUGUACUCUCGUUUUUUUAAUAAAUAUUAUAGCCGGACGGCUAUACUCUUUACAUAAGACACCGUUACCAUUUUGAGUUGACCAGUAGUUUUUGGAAGAGUUCCAUCAAAAUGAUUUUCAGAAAUGCUUGCCUCUUCUAGGAAUAACAGAUUUCCCAAGGACACUGGAAUUGGGCCUGAUAUUGAAUUGCUCAUAAGAGCAAGGAGGCGUAAAUGUCUGAAAUUUCCCAGCUGAUCGGACAGUGGACCUUUAGUGACUCCAUUUGACCUGAACUACACCUUGACAAGCUUCCCAAUAUUUCUGAUACUCUUCCAUUGAAAUAGUUCCUUGACAGACCAAGAACCGUCAACUUACAAAGAUUUCCCAAUGAGUUUGGGAUUUUCCCUCCAAGUUGAUUAGCAGACAAGUCAAGAUUGACAAUGGCUGUCAAGUUUCCAAUGGAUAGGGACUCAAGAUUGCUACAAGUGUACAACCAUUGAGGUAGUCCUAGAGAGCGUAGACUCGAGAGAUUUCCCAAUUGAUGGCGAAUUAUUCCAGCGAACUAUUUGAGUCUGAGAGGUUAAGAGAUAUCUUAAACUUCUAAGAGAACCUAAGAAGCUAGGAAUCUGUAUUCCUCCAAAAUCAUUGUUGCUUAGAUCCAAGUAGCUCAGAUGCUUUAAAUUUGGUAGAGAAGUAUUUACCUUGCCACCCAAAGAGUUUUCUUGAUACAAACUGUAAUUCAAAUACUCAUCUGAAUAAUAAUUUCCAAGGUGCGGCUCACGGACACGACCGGUUAAAUUGUCGCAGACAACUCCAGUCCAAUUGCAACAAUCUCCCUCACCAACCCAAGAUAAAAGCCUAUUUGAAGGAUCCUUAAGAUCUUGCUUGAACAUUAGAAGAAGUGCUUGUCUCUCAUUUUGUUUACAAGGCACACCCAAAUUUCUAUUGCAUAAGCUAAUGGUAGUAAUGGUUGCAAUGCUUAGAAAUCUGAAAACUGAAACAAUUCUCAUGGCUUUGUCCCUGAGGUUAUAUCUUAAUAGGUGAUGUGUGUGAGCAAUAUAACUCAUUUAGAAUGGUGCAAUAUAUACACAUACUACUACACUAGAACUGAGAGUGAAGGUCCAAACUGUUGAGAGUUAAGCUGCAUACUAGUCUUGAAUCAAGCUGCAGAUGUUAAUCCUGCAGAUUGACAGUGAAGAGGAUGAAGAAUCAAAGGAGCUGAAGAACUUUCCUCUUAUAGUAAUAGCUGUUAUAGGAUAUGUUCAACGGCUAGUUUUCUUACUAUUUUGAGAAACUCUACAGCUGUCAUUCUUAGCUGUCUUAGUCCUUUCUGAUGUAACGAUUUCUAGCCUAGGUGUAAGAAUCAUAGCCUCCAAUGACCUUGAAUGGCUGGAGAUGAGUCCUUGUGUCCUAGUUUUUAGGAGCUGUUUUUUUGGCAGCUUGUGUCAUGACUAUAGUGUGUUUUUGGCUCUGAUGCAAUACAUGAAAAAUAGACUGAAACAUUCUCAUUCUCUCUGAGUUUUUCUCUCCUCUGCAUACGUUGCUUACAAAAGGUUUUAUUUUGUUCUAUAAAUCAGUCACUAAAACCAGCAAGCUAAAUACCAAAUUCUAACAUGGUAUCAGAGCUCCUGGUCUGAUUUCAGAGAAGGGACGUGAGCUGUGAGAAAGGGGGUUUUUCUGAAAUCUCUAUAAGGGAUAAAGGUUGCUCUUUUAUUGUGUGGUUCACUGAGACUCACAUCAAAAUGGUGGGAUUAGGUUCUGCAGGUGGAGAUUUACGAACUCCACAGUUCAAUGGUUCAAACUAUGAUUUUUGGUCAAUAAAAAUGGAGACUAUCCUCAUGGCAUAUGAUCUAUGGGAUCCAGUGGAGAUUGGAAUACAACCACAGCCGAUUAUUGAGCUGGAAGCAGGCUCUGAAGGCACUGGAGAUGAAGAGAGUGAGGCUGAGCAAAUUCCAGUGGAAGCACCUACUAUCUCCAGAGAAGAUGAGAUCAAAAAUGCCAAGGCUUUGAGUCUUAUUCAAGGAGCACUAACAGAUGAACUCUUUCCAUGCAUCAAAAAUGAGAAGACUGCAAAAGGUGCUUGGGAAAUUCUAAGAAAAGAUUUCAGAGGAGAUAAAAAGAUAAGAGUUGUGAAAUUACAAGCUAUUAGAGCUGAUUUUGAAUAUUUGAGAAUGAAUGAUGUUGAAUCUUUGGAUGACUACUUGGCUCAAUUUUUUGAAACUGUAAACAACCUGAAAUCUCUAGGAGAAGAUGUAACAGAGAAAAGGAUUGUUCAAAAAUUGUUGAUGAGUCUAAGUAGGAGGUACAAGUCCAUAGUGUCAAUCAUUGAAGAAACCAGAGACCUUGACACUAUUAGAGUUGAAGAAAUUCUUGCAUCUGUCAAAGUCUAUGAUAAGAGAGAGGAUCUACAUGAUGAAAGAGAUAAAUUGGCAGGAAUUGAGAAAGCUUUUAGCAGUCUUAGAGUUGGAAAUAAUCAAGCUUUUGGAGCUAACAAAAGUUCUCAGGGAAAGCAAAAUCAAAAAUGGCAAGGACAGAACAGAAAGGGCUCAAAUUGGUCUCAAGGUGGAAACGUUAACAACAAUAAUGGCUCAAAUUGGAAUAAUGGCUCUGGAGGGAAUUGGAACAACAGUUUCAAUUCACAAAACAAGCAAGGAAGUAGCAGUCAAGGAGGUGUGAAACCACAGUGCCAAGUCUGUCAGAAGUUUCAUUUUGGUGUGUGCAGGCACAAAGGCAGACCUAGAUGUGGAAAAUGCAAUAGGUUUGGUCAUUUAACUAAGGACUGUGACAAUGACAAACAAGUUGCAAAUUGUGCAAAGGAGGAAGAGGUAACCACAUGAACAAUGUUCUAUGCUUGUCAUGCAAGUUCAAUUGCAUCAAGCAAGUCUGUGUGGUUUGUUAACAGCGCUUGCAGCAACCACAUGACCUCUCAAGAGUCCUUGUUGAUCAAUCUUGAUAGAUCAGUGACCUGCAAAGUGAAAAUGGGCACUGGUGAUCUUGUUCACGCCACAGGAAAAGGGACACUUGUAGUUGAGACAAGAAAAGGGAGAAGAUAUAUAAAUGAGGUGCUGUUAGUCCCUGGUCUAGAUGAGAAUUUGUUGAGUAUAGGACAAAUGAUGGAGCAUGGGUACUACAUUCUAUUUGGAGGAAACUAUGCAUUAAUAUGUGAUGACAGCAGUCUUGACAAUGUUGUUGCCAAAGUAGCAAUGGCUGGAAAUAGAUGAUUUCCAUUGUCUAUGGAAUCUAUCUGCUCAAUGGGAAUGAAAGCAGCAGUACAAGAAGAUCCAUGGAUUUGGCAUAGAAGAUUGGGGCAUUUGAAUUUUGCAAGCAUGAAAAAAAUGCAGCAAACACAAAUGGUGUUAGGCUUACCUGAUUUCUCAGAAAAAGAAGGAGUACGUGAAGGCUGUGUGUAUGGUAAAAGCCACAGAGAACCAUUUGAGAAUGAGAAGCCUUGGAGAGCUAAGAAUCCACUUGAGUUGAUACACACGGAUGUAUGUGGUCCAAUGCAAAAUAAGUCCAUUGGAGGAAAUAAAUACUUCAUCACAUUCAUUGAUGACUAUUCAAGAAUGUGUUGGGUAUAUUUUCUUAGAAACAAGUCAAGUGUGAUAAGUGUGUUCAAAAAGUUCAAAGCUUUUGUUGAGCUACAAAGUGGAUUCAAUUUAAAGAAACUAAGAAGUGACAGAGGUGGAGAAUACACUUCACAUGAAUUCCUUGAGUAUUGCAGUGAUCUUGGCAUGGAGAGGCAAUUGACUAUUGCCUACUCACCUCAGUAAAAUGGGAUUGCUGAAAGAAGAAACAUAACCAUUUGUGAAAUGGCAAGAUCAAUGAUGACUGAGAAGAAAAUUCCUGUAAAGUUCUGGGCUGAAGCAGUUGGUACUGCUGUGUAUCUGCAAAACAGGUGCUAUACCACUUCAGUAACAGACAAAACUCCAUUUGAAGCUUUCACAGGAAGAAAACCAGGUGUAAAACACCUAAGAGUGUUUGGAAGUAUCUGUUACAGUCACAUUCCAUCAAACCUUAGACAGAAGUUUGAUGACAAAGCAAGCAAAGGAAUUUUUAUGGGUUAUGGCAGCUGUGAGAAGGGUUACAGGAUCUAUAGUCUUCAAACUGAGAAGAUCAUACUCUCUAGAAGUGUUGUUUUUGAUGAGAACAAAUCCUGGAAUUGGGAAAGCAAGCAAUAUGAAACUGUCCAUGUGCCUCUCAUCUUUGAAAGUGGAAGUUCUGAGAUAACUGAAGCAGAAGAAACCUCUCAUGAAACUCACAGCAUUGCUUCACCAAAUCUGAAUCAAUUAAUCUCAGAUGAUGAACAUGUCUCUGAAAGCAAUGGCAGUGGUACCAGUCAAUGGUCAACUCCAAGCAAUACACUAGUAAAGCUGAAAAGUUUGGAGGACAUUUAUGCAAGAUGUCACAUGACAAUUAUUGAACCUGAAACUUAUUAUGAAGCUGUUGAAGACAAAGGAUGGAAGGAAGCAAUGGAUGCUGAGAUUGAAACUAUUGAAAAGAAUGGAACUUGGGAGCUAGUGGAAAGGCCUACAGAUAAAACAGGCAUAGGAGUCAAAUGGGUAUUCAAAACCAAGCUGAAUCUUGAUGGAACAGUUCAAAAACACAAGGCUAGGCUUGUAGCUAAAGGGUAUGCUCAGAAACCUGGUAUUGAUUAUAAUGAAACCUUUGCCCCCGUGGCAAGGUUAGAUACAAUUAGAACUUUGAUUGCACUUGCAGCACAAAAGGGUUGGAAGUUGUUCCAAUUAGAUGUUAAGUCAGCCUUCUUGAAUGGAGUACUUGAGGAGGAGGUUUAUACUGAGCAACCAGAGGGGUUUGAAGUGAAAACAGCAAGUCAUAAGGUCUAUAAAUUGAAGAAGGCUCUCUAUGGUUUGAAGCAGGCUCCCAGAGCCUGGUACAGUGAAAUUGACACCUAUCUAACUAGCUGCAAUUUUAAAAGAAGCACCAGUGAGGCCACCUUAUAUACCAAAACUGAUGAAAAAGGAAAACUGAUCAUUGUCUCUAUAUAUGUUGAUGAUAUAGUUUAUACUGGAAACGGUAAUGCUUCGCUCAGUGAGUUUAAAAGGGACAUGAUGCAGAAGUAUGAAAUGACUGAUUUAGGACUCCUACAUCAUUUCUUGGGAAUGGGAGUUCUACAAACUGAAAAUGGGGUGUUUAUUCAUCAAAGCAAGUAUGCAAAGUCCUUGCUUGUGAAGUUUGGUCUCGAGGAUUGUAAGUCAGUAACAAUUCCUCUACCCACUGGUGAGAAACUAAAGAAAGUUGAUGGAAGUCAGUUGGCUGAUGAAGGUUUGUUUAGAAAAAUUGUUGGCAGCUUGUUGUAUCUGACUUCAACCAGGCCUGAUAUAAUGUUUGCAGCCAGUUUGUUAUCAAGAUUCAUGCAUAGCCCCACAAAGAAGCACAUGGGAAUUGCAAAAAGGGUUCUCAUAUACAUUCAAGGCACUCUCAGCUAUGGCAUUGAAUUUACAAGGGACAAGAAUGCUGUUCUGAUUGGUUUUUGUGACUCUGAUUGGGCUGGCAGUGAAGAUGACAGUAGAAGCACAUCUGGAUAUGCAUUUAGUUUUGGUAGUGGAGUUUUUUCAUGGGCUUCAGUCAAGCAAAACACAGUUGCAUUGUCAACUGCAGAAGCAGAAUACGUCUCAGUAGCUGAGGCAACUGCUCAAGCUAUCUGGCUAAGGUUUGUGUUGGAUGAUUUUGGUGAAAUGCAACCUGAUGCAACACCAUUGUUUUGUGACAAAAUGUCAGCAAUAUCAAUGGUCAAAAACCCUGUUUUCCAUCAGAAAACAAGGCACAUAAACCGAAGGUAUCAUUUCAUAAGGGAAGCUUUACAAGAAGGGGUGAUUGACAUGAGAUUCUGCAGAAGUGAAGAACAGUUGGCAGAUAUUUUUACAAAAGCUCUGCCCAAAGAUCGAUUCAAUUAUUUGAGGUUGAAGCUUGGAGUUAAACCAGUAAGCAGCUUAGGAGAGGCUGUUGAGAGUUAAGCUGCAUACUAGUCUUGAAUCAAGCUGCAGAUGUUAAUCCUGCAGAUUGACAGUAAAGAGGAUGAAGAAUCGAAGGAGCUGAAGAACUUUCCUGUUAUAGUAAUAGCUGUUAUAGGAUAUGUCCAACGGCUAGUUUUCUUACUAUUUUGAGAAACUCUACAGCUGUCAUUCUUAGCUGUCUUAGUCCUUUCUGCUGUAACGAUUUCUAGCCUAGGUGUAAGAAUCAUAGCCUCCAAUGACCUUGAAUGGCUGGAGAUGAGUCCUUGUGUCCUAGUUUUUAGGAUCUAUUUUUUUGGCAGCUUGUGUCAUGACUAUAGUGUGUUUUUGGCUCUGAUGCAAUACAUGAAAAAUAGACUGAAACAUUCUCAUUCUCUCUGAGUUUUUCUCUCCUCUGCAUACGUUGCUUACAAAAGGUUUUAUUUUGUUCUGUAAAUCAGUCACUAAAACCAGCAAGCUAAAUACCAAAUUCUAACACAAACUCAAUAUUUUUUUCAAAAUCAUUUUCAAAAAUGGUGAACAAAGUCGUUGAGUAUGUAGACUAGUAAUAAGUUAUGGGUUUAUCCAGAGAAAGAAGACAGAAAAAAAUAGAAAAGAAAGUGUGGGAUGACUUGAUUAAAAAAAAAAUUUUGUACAACAAAAAUAUAAGCAAACUAUAAGCACAUAGCAAGAACAUCCUCUCAAACAAAGCUAUAUGGCCACAACUGACAAAAGGGAUCAGGGAAAUUAGUAAUUGCUUGUAUAUAUGGCUUCCACCUAAAUAAAAUCACACCAUUUCCCUGCAUUGUGCAAAGCCACAUGGUAGUCACUUUGCCUGCUUGUUUAGUCACAAAGCAGAACAACUUUGUACAACAAAAAUAACUUCAGUAUUAUAGCUCUACCUCUACCAUUAUUUUUCUUCUUUGAUCCGUGGACUAAUCUGUCAUGCAGAAUCCUUUGCCUUGCCCCAGGUACCUGCACCACAUGCACAACAAACGAAACCAAAAUGCAGGUUUAAGCAGCAAUUAGUAUAAGAUUUUCGUGAAGAUUAUGUAUAUAUGAUAUGUUUUCCAAGUAUACUUGCCUUCCAAGCAUCAUGACAGUAGCUUCAGGAUUAGCACUCGGGGUGUGUAUAUAUUAUAAAACGUUGAACCAUCAAUAACCCUCAGAGAAUCAAUACCAAGAACUCUAUAUCCUUUAUCAACAACCCUCCCAACUUGACACCCUCCAUGAUAGCCAUAUGGUCUGUUGGAAAUUUUGGAAAUAACACAUAUUAUUAAACCCUUAAUUAUGAAUUUCCACAAUCAUCAUACCUGUGGUGAAAAUAAACUAUCAGAUAGAAAAUAGGGAGCAGAAUCUUCAAAAAAAUAACAAAAAAGGAAUCUUGGGUGGGAAUCAUAGACAAUGAUUGCAAAAAAUGGGCCGCCCCAGCGCCUAGCCGCCUAGGCCGAUUUUUCCAACACUGUUUAAAACUCCUACAAACUAUUUCAGUUGUUCUCAAAUGAUCCAUAACUCUAAUUCACGAGCACAAAAUGACAUACAUAUGGCAAUCACAGACAACGAUUGUGAAAAAUCAGCCGCCGAGCGCUAGCCGCCUAGGCGGCCUAGGUUGAUUUUUCUGACACAGUUUAAAACUCCCACAAACUAUUUCAGCUGCUCUCAAAUGAUCCAUAACUCUAAUUAACAAGCACAAAAUGACAUACAUAUGGGAAUCACAGACAACGAUUGCGAAAAAUCGGCCGCCGUGGGCCUAGGCGGCCGCCUAGCCCGAUUUUUUUCCAACACUGUUUAAAACUCCCACAAACUAUUUCACCUUUUCUCAAAUGAUCCAUAACUCUAAUUACCAAGCACAAAAUGACAUAUAUGUAUAUAUAUGCAUAGUUCGAGUAUGAAAUUAUCAAAAUGGCAUCGAUGUCAUCCUCAGGUGAGAGCUUCUGGUCUCUAUGCGAGCUCUCUUUUCCUCAGCUUCCGCUGCUUUCUCUUUGCCUUUUCCUGGCUUCUUCGUCUUCUUCCCCAUGUCUGGAAAACACAGCCAACGAGGCUCAGACUCGGCACGAGGAACAAGAGAUAGUUACCUGGACGACGCUAAUACUACGAUUUUUAUUAUUUAAAAAUAGUAUCGCCGCGGCUAUACUAUUUGUGAUGUGUGGCAAAAUGUGAGCUAGCGCCAGGCGAUUCUUUUUUUUUUUUUUUUUUUAUAAUAUAAAUAGUAUAGCCGCUCGGCUGUACUCAUAUUAAAUAUAAUAUACCUAAAGAGUAUCGCCACGAGGCUAUACUAUAAUUUUUUAUUAUUAAAAAAAAUUGUAUAACCGUGCAGCUAUACUAUUUUUGACACGUGGCGAAACGGGGGCUAGCUGCUAGGGGUGGGCACUCAAACCGGCGAACCGGAAAUCGAAACCGAACCGCACCGAACUAAACUGGAAAAAAAUCGAGUUGACCAAAAAGUCAAAAACCGGUCAAAAACCGAACCGGACCGGUUUGGACCGGUUCCGGAUCCGGUUCCAUGUCUUCAAAAACCGAACCGGGCCGAACCGAACCGGUGAAACUAACAAUAUAUAUAAUUUCAAUAUAUAUUUAUAUUUAAUGCUAUAUUUUUAAUUUCACUAAAAAAAAUUUAAUAUUUAUCCAAGUUCAAUGUCAAAAUAUCUCUCUUUUCUCACUUUAAUAUUUAUUUUUUAUAUGAAAUUGAAUAAUUUGUUAAUUUUCAAGUAAAAAAAUAAUAUUUCAGUUGAGAAUUGUAUUAAAAAAUAAUUUUAAAAAAUAAUUUUUAUAAUCCGGUUCAAAACCGAACCGGAACCGGAACCGGACCGAAACCGGUUCAAACCGAACCGGACAGUUUUUGAAAUUUUUUUAUUAAAACCGAACCGAACCAAAUCGGAUGAAUAGUAUCGGAUCGGUUCUAAUUUGAGGCAAAAACCGGUCCAAACCGAACCGUGCCCACCCCUACUAGCUGCCAUGUGGGUGGUUUUUUAUUAUAAAUUGUAUAGCCCGCGGUUAUACGAUUUUGUUUAUAAUAAAAAAAAAACGGUAGUAUAGCCUCGUGGCUAUCUCUUUAAGUAUAUUAUAUUUAAUAUGAGUAUAGCCGCAUGCCUAUACUAUUUAUAAUAUUAAAAAAUAGCACGUGGCGAAACGGGGGCUAGCUGCCAUGUGGGUGGUUUUUUUUAUUAUAAAUAGUAUAGCCGCCUGGCUAUACUUUAAUUUUUUUUUUUUUUCCCCAAUUGGGGUAAUUUCAUUUUUGGUCACUGGGGUUAGGCCUGAAUUUAAAUUUGGUCAUCGAAAUUUUAAUUUUUCGAUUUUUGUCACUAUAGUUGUUGUCGUUAACAAAUAAAGUCAAAUCCAUUAAUUUUGUUAGUUAAGUUUAAAAAAUAAAUUAUAAAAAAGUAAUUUUUUUGGGAUACAUUUUUGGUCGGUGAUAGCAAAUCCAGCACAAUAUCACACCUUCCUCACAUCACCGACCUCUACCCAGCCACCUUAUCCCAGACAACCACCACCACCAACAUAGCAUCCCAGUCACAAAAUUCAAAAGACUUCUCAACCCACCCAAAUUCAAAGAGAAACGAAAUCAAAAUUAAUUCCUAUUGUUACAAAAUUCAAAACCCAACUAUAAUUAACCCCAAAUAUUCAAAAAAAAAAAAAUCAUGUAAUAAUGCUUCUAUCUAAUGGACCAAACAAAUAGUAUAGUCAGUCGCGCGGCUAUACUACAGUUUUUAGAGCACUUCCACUCAUUUGCCAUGGCAAAAGGCAGGGGCAAUGAAUAGUGGUAGCCCUUGCAAAAGGCUUGUGGUGUUUCCACCCAUUGUCAUGGAAACCCAAGGGCAAGCACUAUUCACAUAAGAUAUGAGGAGAGGAAUUUGUAUAGAUUUUUGGUGUGGGAAGUGAAGAAUAAGACUAAGUAGUUAUUUAAAAAAUUCUGAAUUUUUUUGGUGUUUUUAAAGAUUUUUUUUCAUUAAUUUUUGUUGUUGUUGACGUUAACAAACCCAGGCAACAACCCAUGCUGUUCUUGCCUUUGGGCCAGCCCAGGCUUGUGGAGCCCACCAGCUACCAGGGCUGCAUUUGCUUGCUAGAACAUCGAAUUGGGGCUUGGGCCCCCUCCAGCCCGGGCCACAACUACAGCUGGAAGUGCUCUUAUUAUUAAAAUGGGUGCUAGCCGCCAAGUGGGGUCUCUAUUUUUCUUAUAAAUAGUAUAGCCGCCGAGCUAUACUUAUUUUUCAUUUUUUCGUAAAUAGUAUAGCCGAGGGGCGAUACCUUGGUCUUUUAUUUUUUAAAAAAAAAAUAGUAUAGCCACCGGCUAUACUCUUUAGAUACUAGGAGCUUUUUUUUUUUUUUUUUCUAUCUCUUUUCCCCCGCACCAAAGCCAUGCAUCAUGCAUGACAAGUAUCAGUGUCCCAAACUGAAGGGUUUUAGUCCAUUUUGGUGAGAGCAUUAACGCUUGUGAUGUGGCCAAAAGUAAAGCAAGAGCUUGUAGUGUUGGAGUCAAACUAAAUAGAGAAUUAAUUGAAAUAAACUUUUGCAGGGUCGUUAUAACUUUUGAAGCUCAUAUGGUCUCAGAUCAGAAACACUAUGGCAAACAGUUAUAAUGUUACUUAAUAAUGCUCAUUAAAAUAAAAUAAAAACUGCACUAUAACUAAAUACAAUUUAAUUCCAUUUGUAACCCAGUUACCUGAGCAUCAAAGUCUUCAACUUAGCUCAGGCUUAUUGCUCUUAUAUAAAUCCUUACCCUCUUCUCUCCAACCAUCAACAAAGCCAAUCUAGCUAACCCUUUUUCUGAUAUAGUGCAAAAGUAAGAGUUCCAGGUUUGCCAAUAACCAUGUCUAGAAAAGUUGAAGCAAUAUUUUCACUACUGCUAAUGGCAGCAUGCAGAGUUUUUACCUUCUGGUGCCAUUUAAGUUGCUUUGGUUUUGGAGGAUUCAGGAUUGUGAUAUGCAUUUGAAGGAGAAUAACAGCUAAUUAAUCUCAUUAAAAUAACUCUCUCUCUCUCUCUCUCUCUCUCUCUCUCUCUCUCUCUCUCUCUCUCUCGUACAUCAUUGAAAUCCUUUCUUUCUUCCUUUGUCCAAAAACAACUGAGUAACCAUCAAUGGGAAAAAAGGGAUUAGCAAUAUUUCCUAGUUCCUCUUCAAAGGGAAAUGCAAGACACCAUCUUCUAAUAAAAGAAGUAAAUUAGCAAACCAAAUGAUGAUGCAGCUCAAGUAGUAUUAGAUGAGGUCAUUUUUGUAGAUUUUAGGUUCAAUUCCUUUUGCAAGGAAAAAGAAAACUGGAAUGUGGACAGAUCAUCUGUAUUUUGACACUUCGUAAUAACAUUUGAUUGGGAACAUACACAGGCGAAAUAAACUCCAUUAAAAUGGGGGCAGAUUUUCUAAAUUUGCAACAAAAUAAAAUCCCAAGUGCUUAUGUAAAACAAUGAUGUGUGAACUUGAAAAUCAUGCAUAUCAGGUGCUUAUGUAAGUCACCAUUGAGGUAUAUUAUAGCAAAUGCAGUACCUAUACAUAUUCUUCUGCCAAAUAACAGGAUUAAAACUUCCUGUAUGUCAUGCAUACAUGGGUUUCUAGCCAAGCCAAAUCAAAAGCGGAGCAUAUAGCCAAGCCCUAAACCCUCGGAUAAACUCCAAAAUAGAAUAGCUUAAGAGUAUAGCCGUGCGGCUAUACUCAAUAAAUACGGGAGCUUAAGAGUAUAGCCUUCUGGCUAUACACCAAAAUAGAAUACUUUAAAAGUAUCACCGGGUGGCUAUACUCCAAAAAUAUAAUAUCGUACAAGUAUAGCUGAUCGGCGAUACUUGAUAAGUAUAAGCGUAAGCGUACAGCCGAUCGGCUAUACUCGAAAAAUAGAAUCUCUUAAACGUAUAGCUGCGCAACUAUACCCCUUGAGUACCAUAACAUGGAUUUCGCCUUUUUAAUUACUUUAAUUAGUAGUUAUGUUUUAGUUAUUAUUUACUUAGUGAAUUAUUAGUGUUUAAAUAUUUUAUUAAACAAAAAAAAUAGAAAUUUUUAAUUACUAUGUAUUAAGUAAUUCAUGAAGUUAAUUAAAAUAUUUAAUAUUAAUUAUUCACUAAAGAAAUAAUAAUUAAAAUAUAAUUACUAAUUUAACUAAUUAAAUAAGGCUAAGAUAUUAUUUAAUUACUAAAAAUAAAAUUGAAAAAAAUUAAUUAACAUAAACAUACUAAGUUUAUAUUUAUUUUAAACAAAAAAAUCUCUAAAAAGGAAACGUCGUCGGCACAUGUCUAUCCCGUCGAAAUUUGCCUUUUGACCUCUCCCGAUGAAGUUUCGUCAAAUUUCUCUCUAUUAAAUCUAUGUUUUGGAUAUAUUGAAACUAGGGAAUUAAUCUAUAUAUAUAAAGCAAAAGGCAGAGAAUGGUGAAACAUUCAAAAUACUAGAAAAUGCCCUUGGUUAAUGCAAACAUUAAGAAUUGAAAUUAUUAAUUAAAUGAGGAUAAUAUGGUAAAUUCAUAAUUUUUCGUAUUAAAAAAAUUAAAAUUAAAAGAAAAUUCAGAUAAUGGGUCCUAUUUUUAUGGAACACAAAUAUCCAUUAUCUUUUUUAAUUUUAAAAUAAAUUUAAAUUUUUUAAAAAAAAAACCUCUCGCAUGCACGGAAGCGCGUGCAGAGAGGCUAGUAUCUAUAAAGUAUAAACUAAUUCAAAUAGGAGGGUCCCUUCUUUAAUUCUUUUUUAAUAAAACGUAUAGCUAAGCGGAUAUACUGCGUUUAAAAUUAAAAAACAUAUAGCCGGGCGGCUAUACUACGUUUUUUCAAAUUAAAAACAGUACAGCCGCCCAGCUAUAGCAUUUCUGAUGAAUAAAUGAUGAAGGAAAGAGAUUUUCAAAGAUGGACCGUAGAGUCUUGGAGAAGGACAUUUCGAGAAACAAGAGCCCUCAAAACACUUUGGAGUGGGGGAUAUCAAACUAUGAUCACAAUUAUGUAUCCCAAACCAAACUAUAAGCACAUAGCAAGAACAUCCUCUCAGACAAAGCUAUAUGGCCACAACUGACAGAAGGGAUCGGGGAAAUUAGUAAUUGCUUGUAUAUAUGGCUUCCACCUAUACAAAAUCACACUAUUUCCCUGCAUUGUGCAAAGCCACAUGGUAAACUCACUUUGCCUGCUUGCUUAGCCACAAAGCAGAACACCUUUGUACAACAAAAAUAACUUCAGUAUUAAAGCUCUACCUCUACCAUUAUUUUCAAAUAUGACAAAACUUACGUAUAUCCUUGGCUAGCCUAGCCUAAUAUUAUACCUUGCCGUAUAUGGUUCGCAUGACAUGGCUCUACUGCAUGAUCAGACAGGCUGCAAAUUUCAUUAAGCCAAAGCAAUCGUAGGGCAACUCUUCUUUGGCAGGUCAAUGAAAGUGAUUGUACAUUUGUAGCUGCAUCAGUCACCAGUGCCUGCCAAGAAAGAGGAGCCCUAUGACUGCUUUGCUUACUUGAUAAGUAUACUUCUUCUAGUAUGUAUAGCUUCUUCAAGAUACUUUUUCAAUGAUGGCCCGACACAGGUGUUAUAUAAGGGCUCAAAGACUCCAAGAGAUAAAAUAAACCAGUAAGCACAAAUGGCAUAUCCUGAGGAUUAUGCUGUGAACAUCCAUCAAGGGCUGAUUUUCAGGGAUUUUGUUGGGGCCAGGGCUCAUUCUGCUGCUAGAUUCUUCUCCUCCUUAUCCAAGCCUUGAAAGCGCUCUUUCCUAGCAUAUGAGAUUCUUCCACUC